rnacentral:sRNA from 2 species
UUCCCGGUCAUCGGGGAGUAGCAGGCGCCAGCGAUGGCGGAGGCACGUCAACAUACUCGCGGGGAUGUCCGCGUGGCGUGUCUGGCUCUUGGGCUUUGCAAGACCGUGGCGGUGGGAUUCUGCGGGCGGAAUCCGUCCAUCGCCCGGCUCAGCCCACAGGACUU